rnacentral:rRNA from 1 species
UUAAGCGACUAAGCGUACACGGUGGAUGCCUAGGCAGUCAGAGGCGAUGAAGGGCGUGCUAAUCUGCGAAAAGCGUCGGUAAGGUGAUAUGAACCGUUACAACCGACGAUACCCGAAUGGGGAAACCCAGUGCAAUUCGUUGCACUAUUGCAUGGUGAAUACAUAGCCAUGCAAGGCGAACCGGGGGAACUGAAACAUCUAAGUACCCCGAGGAAAAGAAAUCAACCGAGAUUCCCCCAGUAGCGGCGAGCGAACGGGGAGGAGCCCAGAACCUGAAUCAGCAUAUGUGUUAGUGGAAGCGUCUGGAAAGUCGCACGGUACAGGGUGAUAGUCCCGUACACAAAAAUGCAUAUGUUGUGAGUUCGAUGAGUAGGGCGGGACACGUGACAUCCUGUCUGAAUAUGGGGGGACCAUCCUCCAAGGCUAAAUACUCCUGACUGACCGAUAGUGAACCAGUACCGUGAGGGAAAGGCGAAAAGAACCCCGGCGAGGGGAGUGAAAUAGAACCUGAAACCGUGUACGUACAAGCAGUGGGAGCACCUUCGUGGUGUGACUGCGUACCUUUUGUAUAAUGGGUCAGCGACUUAUAUUUUGUAGCAAGGUUAACCGAAUAGGGGAGCCGUAGGGAAACCGAGUCUUAACUGGGCGAAUAGUUGCAAGGUAUAGACCCGAAACCCGGUGAUCUAGCCAUGGGCAGGUUGAAGGUUGGGUAACACUAACUGGAGGACCGAACCGACUAAUGUUGAAAAAUUAGCGGAUGACUUGUGGCUGGGGGUGAAAGGCCAAUCAAACCGGGAGAUAGCUGGUUCUCCCCGAAAGCUAUUUAGGUAGCGCCUCGUGAACUCAUCUUCGGGGGUAGAGCACUGUUUCGGCUAGGGGGUCAUCCCGACUUACCAAACCGAUGCAAACUCCGAAUACCGAAGAAUGUUAUCACGGGAGACACACGGCGGGUGCUAACGUCCGUCGUGAAGAGGGAAACAACCCAGACCGCCAGCUAAGGUCCCAAAGUCAUGGUUAAGUGGGAAACGAUGUGGGAAGGCAUAGACAGCCAGGAUGUUGGCUUAGAAGCAGCCAUCAUUUAAAGAAAGCGUAAUAGCUCACUGGUCGAGUCGGCCUGCGCGGAAGAUGUAACGGGGCUAAACCAUGCACCGAAGCUGCGGCAGCGACGCUUAGGCGUUGUUGGGUAGGGGAGCGUUCUGUAAGCCGUUGAAGGUGACCUGUGAGGGUUGCUGGAGGUAUCAGAAGUGCGAAUGCUGACAUAAGUAACGAUAAUGCGGGUGAAAAACCCGCACGCCGGAAGACCAAGGGUUCCUGUCCAACGUUAAUCGGGGCAGGGUGAGUCGACCCCUAAGGCGAGGCUGAAAAGCGUAGUCGAUGGGAAACAGGUUAAUAUUCCUGUACUUGGUGUUACUGCGAAGGGGGGACGGAGAAGGCUAGGCUAGCCGGGCGACGGUUGUCCCGGUUUAAGCAUGUAGGCGGAGUGACUUGGUAAAUCCGGUUGCUUAUCAACGCUGAGGUGUGAUGACGAGCCACUACGGUGGUGAAGUAGUUGAUGCCAAGCUUCCAGGAAAAGCCUCUAAGCAUCAGGUAACAUUAAAUCGUACCCCAAACCGACACAGGUGGUCAGGUAGAGAAUACUCAGGCGCUUGAGAGAACUCGGGUGAAGGAACUAGGCAAAAUGGUGCCGUAACUUCGGGAGAAGGCACGCUGGCAUUAGGUAAAGGGACUUGCUCCCGGCGCCGAAGCCAGUCGCAGAUACCAGCUGGCUGCAACUGUUUAAUAAAAACACAGCACUGUGCAAACACGAAAGUGGACGUAUACGGUGUGACGCCUGCCCGGUGCUGGAAGGUUAAUUGAUGGGGUCAGCCGCAAGGCGAAGCUCUUGAUCGAAGCCCCAGUAAACGGCGGCCGUAACUAUAACGGUCCUAAGGUAGCGAAAUUCCUUGUCGGGUAAGUUCCGACCUGCACGAAUGGCGUAAUGAUGGCCAGGCUGUCUCCACCCGAGACUCAGUGAAAUUGAACUCGCUGUGAAGAUGCAGUGUACCCGCGGCAAGACGGAAAGACCCCGUGAACCUUUACUAUAGCUUGACACUGAACAUUGAGCCUUGAUGUGUAGGAUAGGUGGGAGGCAUUGAAGUGUGGACGCCAGUCUGCAUGGAGCCAACCUUGAAAUACCACCCUUUAAUGUUUGAUGUUCUAACUCGGCCCCAUAAUCUGGGGUGAGGACAGUGUCUGGUGGGUAGUUUGACUGGGGCGGUCUCCUCCCAAAGAGUAACGGAGGAGCACGAAGGUUAGCUAAUCACGGUCGGACAUCGUGAGGUUAGUGCAAAGGCAUAAGCUAGCUUGACUGCGAGAGUGACGGCUCGAGCAGGUACGAAAGUAGGUCUUAGUGAUCCGGUGGUUCUGAAUGGAAGGGCCAUCGCUCAACGGAUAAAAGGUACUCCGGGGAUAACAGGCUGAUACCGCCCAAGAGUUCAUAUCGACGGCGGUGUUUGGCACCUCGAUGUCGGCUCAUCACAUCCUGGGGCUGAAGUAGGUCCCAAGGGUAUGGCUGUUCGCCAUUUAAAGUGGUACGCGAGCUGGGUUUAGAACGUCGUGAGACAGUUCGGUCCCUAUCUGCCGUGGGCGUUGGAAGAUUGAGAGGGGCUGCUCCUAGUACGAGAGGACCGGAGUGGACGAAUCACUGGUGUUCGGGUUGUCAUGCCAAUGGCAUUGCCCGGUAGCUAAAUUCGGAAGAGAUAACCGCUGAAAGCAUCUAAGCGGGAAACUUGCCUCGAGAUGAGUCUUCCCUGGGGCUUUAAGCCCCCUGAAGGAACGUUAAAGACUAUGACGUUGAUAGGCUGGGUGUGUAAGUGCAGCGAUGCAUUGAGCUAACCAGUACUAAUGAUCCGUGAGGCUUAACCUU